rnacentral:lncRNA from 1 species
UUUAUUUCUUGACUUCUAAUCUUCAUUUUGCUUCUGUUUUCUAUUGUUUGACCUUGAUCUUCUCUAUCUUUGGUCAAUGCUUGUUGAUUAACACAUACCAUUUCCAUUAAUGCACUUUAAUUCUUCAUCUUCUUCUUCUUCUUGUUCUUUUUUUUCUUUUUGAUCAAUGAGUUAAGGAUUGGUGGUUAGCAUUGAUACAUGGAGGUUUAAUCUUCCUUGAUUCAAAUCUAAUUCAUCUUGAUCAUGGAUCAAGUGAAUGGCUUUGCAUUAAGGAUAGGUUGCUUCCUAAAUC